GGCUCAGAUUGAACGCUGGCGGCAUGCUUUACACAUGCAAGUCGAACGGUAACAGGCCGCAAGGUGCUGACGAGUGGCGAACGGGUGAGUAAUGCAUCGGAACGUGCCCAGUCGUGGGGGAUAACGCAGCGAAAGCUGCGCUAAUACCGCAUACGAUCUAUGGAUGAAAGCGGGGGACCGAAAGGCCUCGCGCGAUUGGAGCGGCCGAUGUCAGAUUAGGUAGUUGGUGGGGUAAAGGCUCACCAAGCCAACGAUCUGUAGCUGGUCUGAGAGGACGACCAGCCACACUGGGACUGAGACACGGCCCAGACUCCUACGGGAGGCAGCAGUGGGGAAUUUUGGACAAUGGGCGCAAGCCUGAUCCAGCAAUGCCGCGUGCAGGAAGAAGGCCUUCGGGUUGUAAACUGCUUUUGUACGGAACGAAACGGCUCUGGUUAAUACCUGGGGCUAAUGACGGUACCGUAAGAAUAAGCACCGGCUAACUACGUG
rnacentral:rRNA from 1 species